CACUGCAGGAGGGAUCAGAUAGGGAAACACUACGUGACCCAAGCUAGAAAAAACAAACCAGAUGCGGCAUCAAGCAUCAGCAAAACCCUACUCUUACUUAAGUCAAGUCACUCUGUUUUAAGAUGCCAGAGUGUGAGCCAGAGGUGGAAGUUUGACUUGGAGGGAGUGCAACAGGCAAGUGGGACUAGUAAGUGACAAAGCGCUACGGGCAGAGAACUGCUGCUGCUGCUGCUGCUGCUGCUGCUGCUGCUGCUGCUGCUGCUNNNNNNNNNNCUGCUGCUGCUGCUGCUGCUGCUGCUGCUGCUGCUGCUGCUGCUGCUGUUGCUGCUGGUGUUGGUGGUGCAGCACUAGGAUCUCCAAACGUUACGUUCUUCCCGCCUUUAAGGGUUAGCAAACUUCCUUCCCCACAUUCCUUAAAGAGCCUGCCCCCUGCCCUGCCCGUCCCUGUUCUCAAGUGGUGGUUUUCUGAGUUCCUAAGCCUCCCUUUCGAAAGUGAAGAUGCCUGCAAAGACUGGAGGAGGAGGCUUCGGGAGAGAAGCUACUCAGCAGAUCCUGGCCGGAGGUUCAGCGGGUCUUUAAAAAAGCAGUAUUCCUCCCUGCUCUACUCAACCACUGGACAAUCAAGAGUCAUUCUAAGGGACUAACAAAAUGUUACUCAGGCAGAAGAGAUACUUGAAAUAUACACAUACAUUGUACUUGAAGCACUCCUACAGCUAUACUCAUCACUAGAGCUUUUGUUGCUUUUAAUUUCAAUUGAAAUAAAAGUAUAAAGGCAUAUGAAUGUAAAACUGUG
ensembl:lncRNA